rnacentral:rRNA from 1 species
UGGGUAAGACGGGUGCCAGCCGCCGCGGUAACACCCGCAGCUCGAGUGGUGGUCACUUUUAUUGAGCCUAAAGCGUUUGUAGCCGGAUCCGUAAAUCUCCAGGCAAAUUCCUUCGCUUAACGAAGGAUCUUCUGGAGAGACUGCGGAUCUAGGGACCGGGUGAGGUUGAAUGUACUUCUGGGGUAGGGGUAAAAUCCUGUAAUCCUGGAAGGACGACCGGUGGCGAAGGCGUUCAACUAGAACGGAUCCGACGGUGAGGAACGAGGGCUAGGGGAGCAAACCGGAUUAGAUACCCGGGUAGUCCUAGCUGUAAACACUGCCCACUUGAUGUUGCAUCUCCGUGUAGGGGGUGCAGUGUCGUAGCGAAGGUGUUAAG